rnacentral:tRNA from 1 species
GGGCCUAUAGCUCAGAUGGUUAGAGCGCACGCCUGAUAAGCGUGAGGUCAGUGGUUCAAGUCCACUUAGGCCCACCA